rnacentral:rRNA from 1 species
UACGGAGGGUGCUAACGUUGUCCGGAAUUACUGGGCGUAAAGCGCAUGUAGGUGGACUGAUCAGUGGGUAAUGAAAGACCGACGCUUAACGUCGGAUCCGUGACCCAUACUGUCAGUCUCGAGGAAGGUAGGGGCAGGCGGAACUUUAGGUGUAGGAGUGAAAUCCGUAGAUAUCUAAAGGAACACCAAUGGCGAAGGCAGCUUGCUGGACCUUAUCUGACACUGAGAUGCGAAAGCGUGGGGAGCGAACGGG